AGGAUGAAUGCUGGCGGCGUGCCUAAUACAUGCAAGUCGAGCGGCAGCGCGAGUAGUUUACUACUUGGCGGCGAGCGGCGGACGGCUGAGUAACGCGUGGGAACAUGCCCCAAAGUGAGGGAUAACGCACCGAAAGGUGUGCUAAUACCGCAUAUGGUCUUCGGAUUAAAGGAUUUAUCCGCUUUUGGGGAGUGGCCCCGCGUACGAUUAGAUUGUUGGUGAGGUAACGGCUCACCAAGUCGACGAUCGUUAACUGGUCUGAGAGGAUGAUCAGUCAGACUGGAACUGAGACACGGUCCAGACUCCUACGGGAGGCAGCAGUAAGGAAUCUUCCACAAUGGGC
rnacentral:rRNA from 1 species